GAGUUUGAUCGUGGCUCAGGAUGAACGCUAGCUACAGGCUUAACACAUGCAAGUCGAGGGGCAGCAUGAACUUAGCUUGCUAAGUUUGAUGGCGACCGGCGCACGGGUGAGUAACACGUAUCCAACCUGCCGAUGACUCGGGGAUAGCCUUUCGAAAGAAAGAUUAAUACCCGAUGGCAUAGUUCUUCCGCAUGGUAGAACUAUUAAAGAAUUUCGGUCAUCGAUGGGGAUGCGUUCCAUUAGGUUGUUGGCGGGUAACGGCCCACCAAGCCUUCGAUGGAUAGGGGUUCUGAGAGGAAGGUCCCCCCACAUUGGAACUGAGACACGGUCCAAACUCCUACGGGAGCAGCAGUGAGGAAUAUUGGUCAAUGGACGAGAGUCUGAACCAGCCAAGUAGCGUGAAGGAUGACUGCCCUA
rnacentral:rRNA from 1 species